UACGUAGGGGGCAAGCGUUGUCCGGAAUCAUUGGGCGUAAAGAGCGUGUAGGCGGCUCGGUAAGUCCGCUGUGAAAGUCUAGGGCUCAACCCUGGAAUGCCGGUGGAAACUGUCGAGCUAGAGUCCGGAAGAGGCGAGUGGAAUUCCUGGUGUAGCGGUGAAAUGCGCAGAUAUCAGGAGGAACACCAAUGGCGAAGGCAGCUCGCUGGGCCGGUACUGACGCUGAGACGCGAAAGCGUGGGGAGCAAACAGG
rnacentral:rRNA from 1 species